UACGGAGGGAGCUAGCGUUGUUCGGAAUUACUGGGCGUAAAGCGCGCGUAGGCGGCUUUGUAAGUUAGAGGUGAAAGCCCGGGGCUCAACCCCGGAACUGCCUUUAAGACUGCAUCGCUUGAAUCCGGGAGAGGUGAGUGGAAUUCCGAGUGUAGAGGUGAAAUUCGUAGAUAUUCGGAGGAACACCAGUGGCGAAGGCGGCUCACUGGACCGGUAUUGACGCUGAUGUGCGAAAGCGUGGGGAGCAAACAGG
rnacentral:rRNA from 1 species